rnacentral:rRNA from 1 species
CAGCCGCCGCGGGAAUACGUAGGUGGCAAGCGUUGUCCGGAAUUAUUGGGCGUAAAGGGCUCGCAGGCGGUUUCUUAAGUCUGAUGUGAAAGCCCCCGGCUCAACCGGGGAGGGUCAUUGGAAACUGGGAAACUUGAGUGCAGAAGAGGAGAGUGGAAUUCCACGUGUAGCGGUGAAAUGCGUAGAGAUGUGGAGGAACACCAGUGGCGAAGGCGACUCUCUGGUCUGUAGCUGACGCUGAGGAGCGAAAGCGUGGGGAGCGAACAGGAUUAGAUACCCCCGUAGUCCCUGUCUCUUAUAC